AUCUAUAAAUUGAAACUCUCAAGCCAGCCUCAACUUAAAGAGCAAACAAUAGAUAAUUUCCUUCAUAAUUUAACCUAAAUUUGCUCUAAAUCUCAACUGCUUCAUGGAUUCCUCGUUUGGAAAGUUCUCUACUUUUCAUUCUAUUAGAUUACAACUUUUGUCUUGAUUUCUUUCCGUGCAAAGAUGUCACUCGAAUUGAUAAGAUGGAAAAUUCUCCCCGACUCACUCUCCGUAUGUUUCAACAAAUUUUCCCAACAUAUGCACCAACACAAAUUUAAACGUUUUUGAAAUAAUACCCUUGUUUGAUCCCCAUUCUUUAAAGAAAAUGAAUUCUUCUACAUUGUUUUGACAUAAUUUUAACCACAUUUUUCAAAAAAAUAAUAUUACACGUAAAUUUAAAACUUUUUUUUUAACCACAUAUUUCACAUCAAUAUACUAUUCAAAAAUUCAUUUUUCCCCUCAAAAUGGGACUAAAACAAGGGCAAUAUUAGAUAAGAUAGAGCAGGACAACAAAUACCUUGUCCGCCCCUGCCAAUCCGUGUGCGCAGGUUGAAUGAAUUUUUUGCCACCCCUAAAAUUUUGUCGCAAGUUGUUUACUUGACUAUAUUGUCAAAUAAAAGCCAAGUGUAUAUCAACACAAAUUCCUCCUGCACAAGUCUCUACUCUUGUAUAUGUUGACAAUCUUAUAAUUAUUCAAAAGAUGUAAAGACAAAUGACAUUUCUUACAGCUAAUCAAUUAAAAUAUCUUGGUUCUGGCCUUAAGAAAGCUGCUUAAUCGGUGUGGGUAGAAAGACACAAUUUUCCCAUUUGACACCUCAAGUUUGAUUAGUGUGUGAAUGGUAUCUUUUCUUUAGACCAGCGUGCCACAUAUGCUUCCAGUAUUCAACUUGCUCCAAUGGUCGACACCGACAUAUAUAGAUUUUGUACCGUGUGUUUAUCCGUCAAUUCCUUUUCUUUUAUAUAUUUUUUUUCUUUUUGGCAUUUUCCAAUUUUCCAGAUUUUCUCAUCAAUAAUGUUCAAAAAACAAACAUUAAUUUAUGAUUGAAGAUAAUAGAGAUGACACAAGAAUGAAGAAUAUUUGGCUUAGAAGACUCGAAAAGUCGUGUAUCAUAUUAAUUGUUAGGGUCGAUGAUGAUCUCAAC
rnacentral:lncRNA from 1 species